rnacentral:sRNA from 1 species
UUUUGGAAUAAACAUGAAAAUUUGUGUGUCAAAAAAAGUUUAAAGUGUAUUAUAAUGAAAUAAAUAAUUUAAGGGAAAAUUACGCAAGUUUUCUCAACUGUUGAUGUAUACUAAAAUUUGGGAGGAGUAGAGGAAUAAAAGGAAACGGGACUCCCAGUGAAGUUGUUAUCACUAACAACCAUACCCCACUCACUUAACAAUCACUGCCUGCUGUGACGAUAAAAGGACACGAAUUGAAAUUGAAAUCAAACAAAUUGGGAAAUCUUUGCCGUAAUGAAAUCUGAUACGCCUUAUUUAAUGCUCUUUUCUGUUAGGGCAUAAAAUAUGUAAUGACACAAAUAGAGCGCCCUGCUUCAAUAUUGGCGGCUUUCUAGGAGUUUGGCUUGCCUUCCAUUUGAUAACUCAAUGGCAUCAUUGACAAAGAGUCCUUGUUUUUGCAACACUCACAAAGACCAAAACAAACAGCCAAACUCCCCUCCGCUUCGGUGGCCUUAACUCCGUUGCCGCAGUCAAAGGAAUCGAAGGCGUUGUACUCGAGCUUGGCAUGUGCCAGGCCGACAUGGAGAAGAAGAAACAAAAAAAGCAAAAACACACAAAACUAAAUGUGAAUCAAUUUCAUUUGACAGAGAGGGUGGCAACAUGAAAUCGAUUUGGGACUCACGAGCCACAAAAGAGCUUUUGGAAAUCACUGAAAAAACAGUUCGAAGACCAACGAUGAUGAUGACGAUGUUGUUGUUGUUGUUGUGAACAUAAAUGCGUUCGUAAGCACUUUGCGGAAUGUUAGCUGUCCCCCUAAGCAUAACAAACAAGGAUAAUGUGAACAUGAAAGAAUGAAUGAAUGCAUGAAUGAUGCCACAAGAAAAAGUAUCAAGCGUUGAAAUAGAAAGGCGGGGGUUAACCCAUCAAACUAGCGUACUCUCCUUGCUUCGUCCAAACGUAGGAAUGAAUAAAUAAAAUUCUUAAUGUAUCCUU